UAAUUUGCAUCAAUCUUUCUUAAAAUUACGAGCUGUCUUCUUAUCGCAAACCUAACAAACUAAUCCGGAACCUAAAAUCACGAUACUUAUUCAAAUUACCCUUUAAACCACUCUUUUAGUCCCCCAAAGCGUAAACAAAACUUCUCCGAGUGACAUCCUACUAUUUCCUUCUCCUUAAAGCAAUUAAUUUCUGGGGAUUUUUUUGUUCCUCUAAGUGUGUGAAAAUAAGUGUUUCAUUCAGAUUUGAAAGGGGGAAAAAAAAGCGUGAAUUUCUAAAUCAAGACUUGAACUUCCUCCGGAGUGGUGUAAGUAAGGGAAGGGAUACCAAGGUGAGUGAUCUGGACGUACUGAUCCAAAUCGGUUGGUGAAAUUGGUAUAAAAGCAAAAAUCUGAUCCACUCCUCCCAUAUUAUCAUCAUCCAUCAGCAUUCAAGCAUUGCAUUGCUUCUUACAGCCACAAAAGAAAAAAAAUGGUUUCAGCACAGAAAUUGACAUGCCUUUUGGUAGUUCUGGUCAUUUUGGGCACCCUUUUCACUGUGCCACCUACAGAGGCUCACAAACAUCAUCAUGAAAACAACAUUGUGGAAAUGCUGGCAGCCGGUAUUGUCGCCAAGAUGUUGUCAGAACAUCAUAAACACCAUGGUUGUCAUCAUCAUCAUGGAUAAUGAAAUCAUCGUAUCAUCUGAAUGUAAUGAGGGAUCAUCAUUGUAUAAUUAUUUCACCUGCUGCAGUAUCAUUCAUCUGUAAAAUGCAUGCAUUAUUAAUGGAUUGUGGAAUGUAAAUUAUUUUUUUUAAAAUAAAGCUUUAUUUUAAAUUUUUUAAA